CGGAGUCAUUUUCGGGGGUCCUUAGCCAAACCGAUCCACAUACCGGAACUAUAUACCUACUGGGGGGUUGCCUUUAGCGUCCUCUUUCACGCACACCCUUCCUCCUUUACGUCCGCAUGCUGUCCUCAGUCACGUCCGCCUUCCUCUUUAUAAGCAGCGUAUCGGCAGGAAAUGCUCCCAGUCAGUCAAGCGGAGCGCUCAUCACACAACAACAUUUAUAGACUUUGGAACUCGGUGCACACAUAAGGCGCACCGCAUUAUAAGGCGCCCCGUCCAUUUUGGAGAAACAUUUUAAAAAACUUUUAAAAUACGGUAGUUUAUAUCUUUAAUCUUCCAUUUUUUGGCAAGGUGUCAGUCAACAGGACAGUGAUUAUAGUGCAGGAACAAUCAACAGUUGGGAUGCAGUUUUUCCAUGCUAUUCAAUGAGAAGAUGGGUUGAGGAUCUUUAGCCUUGUGACAGGGUUUAUGCUUAUUUGCUAAAAACAAGCCAGUGUCACUUCUGACCUGGACAGGACUCCAUAGAAACCGAGGUACAUCUGAUACAUACCUUAUUCUCGUAUGUCAGAGAGCAUUACUUAUUUAUUGUGUGGAUAGAGCUGGCGACACCAGUGCCACCGUAUCCCACAAUGAAGAUGAGUACAGCUGCAUGUCAGUAAAGUCUCUUGUGAAGGGCCUGGAAUGCUAAACUGAGCUAUCAGCAUUGCUACAUAGGUAAAUGGCUUGAAAGACAGAGCUCCUGAGACAUUAAUACUGGGGAGUAGUUGAUCGAGAGCAGAGGCUGACGUUUUUGAACUUUUGCUUUGUUGCUCUGACUCAGAACAGACUUUUGGGAAGGAGGGAUGGGGCGAUGAAGAGGAACUACUUGUAAUGGAAAUGCAGUGAUCUGCCAAAGUGAGCCUGCAGUUCCACUGUGCUUGUGAACCAACAGUUGGUCUCCUGCUGCUGCCAGCUUGCUUUCUUCAGGAGCCCUACUGCAGGAUCUACACCGCUUUCAUAGGUUGAACACUGAAUUGCUCACCAUCUGAGAAACCACUUUCUUUACUCAAAUGCUCAAGAAUGCUGCCCCCUAGAGACAUGACUUUUUAUGUUGCAUUUGAUUAUGGUGGGGAAAAAUAUGUACACCGCCAGUGGUGGUCCUAACUUAACUAGCCAUGUCAUGCCAUUUCCUGGAACAAUUUUUUAAAUAAUAAAAAAAAAAAAAAAAAAAAAAACUGCUGUGCCAUCUUAUGCGCCUCACAUGCAGUUUUGCACAUGCCAGAAACCACCACUGCACAGUUCACCACACAAUAAAAAAUAUUAGUAGCAAAAACAGUCAUACGCAUGUCAUCCAAAUAUGCUGUUUUGUUUUUGUUUUGUCUUUUUGAGGUGGGGUCACAGCAUGUGACUAAAAAACAGCAGGAAUCACAAGCCACCGGCUCUUUCUGUGGCUCUUUGGGCUCCCAUUUGACUUUUGAUGGCAUACUGUAUUUACUUGCAUCUCCUCACAGUGCCUAACUGCAGAAUAAUGAGGGUGUGUGCUGCAUUACCUUAUGUAAUGGUGAGAGAGGGAGGAGGGUGUUAGUGAGAUGGUGGGGGGAUUACAGAGGGAGGAGUGGGAGAGGAGACGAGUGAUGAGCUCAUGCCGCUGCACUGCAGCUCUUGUAUGAGCAUUGCUGCCCCUUGUGGUUUUGUUGCCACAAUGCACAGCCUUUCACGCGGAUUCAUGAAUAAUUUACACUCAGCUGAUCUUUUUUCAACUUCUCACUCAUGUGUGUGUGUGUGUGUGUGUGCGUGCGCGCGUGCGUGUGCGUGUCUCUGUUGAGAUGGCGUAUUUACUCUUUGAAACCGAGAAGGCCAUCCUGGGGGAUAUUCAGCAUCCUGUGAUGAACAGCAGUGUCAAGUAACGAAGUAAAAAUACUUCGUUACUGUACUUAAGUAGAUUUUUCAGGUAUCUGUACUUUACUUGAGUAUUUAUUUUUCUGACGACUUUUUACUUUUACUCCUUACAUUUGAAUACAUCUGUACUUUAUUCCUUACUUUUAAAACAUUCUUAGGUUAGCGACGACACAGGGUAAAAGAGGCCGGGGUGGCGAUUGGGAUUUCAUGUUUUUUUUUUUUUUUUUUUUUUUUUUU